rnacentral:rRNA from 1 species
UGGGGAAUAUUGGACAAUGGGGGAAACCCUGAUCCAGCAAUGCCGCGUGUGUGAAGAAGGCCUGAGGGUUGUAAAGCACUUUCAGUGGGGAAGAGGGUUGAUAGGUUAAGAGCUAAUUAACUGGACGUUACCCACAUAAGAAGCACCGGCUAACUCCGUGCCAGCAGCCGCGGUAAUACGGGGGGUGCAAGCGUUAAUCGGAAUUAUUGGGCGUAAAGGGUUCGUAGGUUGUUUGAUAAGUUAUUUGUGAAAUCCCCGGGCUCAACCUGGGAAGGUCAGAUAAAACUGUCAGACUAGAGUAUGGGAGAGGGUAGUGGAAUUUCCGGUGUAGCGGUGAAAUGCGUAGAGAUCGGAAGGAACACCAGUGGCGAAGGCGGCUACCUGGCCUAAUACUGACACU